rnacentral:rRNA from 1 species
GACGUAGGGCGCGAGCGUUGUCCGGAUUUAUUGGGCGUAAAGAGCUCGUAGGCGGCUUGUCGCGUCGAAUGUGAAAUUUUAGGGCUCAACCCUGACAUUGCAUUCGAUACGGGCAGGCUUGAGUUCGGUAGGGGAGACUGGAAUUCCCGGUGUAGUGGUGAAAUGCGCAGAUAUCGGAGGAAUGAACCAGUCGGCGAGGCGA